GUGGUAGUAGAAUACCCAUUUCGUUACAAUUUGCCCAUGAUCAUGUAUGACAAUAGACAUUAUUUUAUAGAAAGUGAUACUUCCUUUUUCUUUUCUCAUUCAAACACAACCGUGGCACCACAGUCCCAUUUCAGUAUCAUUUAAUCUUCCACAAAUCACACAUUAAAUGCAGCUUUCCACAGAAUGGAUUUCAAACCUGCUUGAUACACAAAAAUCAUAAAUUGACACUGUACAUUUACUAUUUAAGUGUGAUAAACCAGGCACAUUCUAAAUGAAAAAGAA